CCCUCUCGAAGCAUCCAUUUCUGGAAGCCAUAACCUCAAACAAGCAUCAUCAGAGAGAAGCCGCGAAACCGAAGGCAAGAAAAGGCUUACGAAUCAUAUUCUUUAUUCGAUUUUUCAAGUUCAUUCUCCAGUCUCGAGUCCUCCGCUUUCAUGGAGUUACAGCAGGAGCAAACUCCGUCGGUAUCCAUAGAAGAUUGCUUGAAGCUCUUGAAAGGAGAGAAGGACGAGCAGCGUCUCGCUGGCCUUUUCUUGGUCACUAAAAUUUGCAAGGUGGAUGAUAUUGCCUCGCUUACUAGAGUUUACAAUGCGGUUGGAGCGAAAUUUCUUGAUCGGCUUCUGAGAACUGGCAUGGGCAAAGGAACUGUUAGUGGACCUGGAGAGGAAAAUCGCGAUGCGUAUUUGCAGCUUUCAGUUAGGAUUCUGGUUGCGUUUUGUCACGUUCCUGAUAUUGCUGCUUCAGAAGAGAUGAUCUCGAAGAUUCCACUGAUACUGGAAAUCUUAUCCAACCAGUCAGGAUCAUCUGUUUUGGAGGAGUGUCUUGAAUUUCUGUAUCUGGUAUCAACUACAUCUGAUGCUGGUGUUACGGUUCUAUAUAAAUCUGGAAGCCUGAAAAUUAUAGCUUCUUGGAUGUCAAAGUUGGCAGAUGGUUCCCAUCCAAUGAAGAUUUCCAUGCAACUUGUUCAAUUGAUCAUUAGUAAGAUUUCUUUGGACAUCAUCAUGAUCGACUGUUUGCCUGAACUAACUGAUAUUGUUGUUGAUAUUGCGAGGCAAUUUGGAGUGUCUCACGAUGCUGUGAAGUUUGAAGCACUUCACCUGCUUUCUGCCAUCCUGUCCUCAAAUUUGACACCACUAUAUGAUGCCCUUCGUCAAGUGCCUUCCGAUGCUUGGUCAAAACACAUGCGUAAUGGAGUUUCAGCUAUUCUUCAUAACCGUACAGCACCUGCCGAAAAGCUUCAGGCUCUUAGUUUGGCCGAGUCUAUGGUGUCUAUUAGAGGAGAAGGUUGGCUGAUAGGUGAAAUAGAAUUACCCGAUGUUCAAGAUGCUAUUCCAUCUGACAGGUGUCUAAUACUUGUUUUAGAGCAGUCAAGAGUUGAGAUUGCUGUGAUGCUGAAUGAACUGGCCUAUGCAAAAUAUGAAGCUUCCAAGAAUUCUUCCUUGAAGGAGGAUAUCAUUGUAAAGCAGCGGAAUGUAGCAACUGCCUUCUCUUUGGUGGAAAAGAUAAUUAAGUUAGUAUCAAAUGUCGGUGAAGAUCAAGGUGAUCUUAUCGAUGAAAACACACUGAUGAAAGUGUUUAGAGGACUAAAUGAGACUACUGGUGUUGUGCUAGAAUAUUUGCAAGAUGCAAAGGAGCAUGGACAAAGAAAAGGAGAUGAUAUUUUAGCAUCCGUACGGGUUAUUGGGAGCUUUCUCGCACAAACCCCCGAUGCAUGGACAGAAAAAGUUAAGGAACUCUUAGACUAUAUGCUCUCUGUUGAAGGAGAAGAUGAACAGAGCCCCUUCAACUCUGUGUGCUUCUUGCUUCCUAUGCUGUGUCAAAUAACAAUGAAUGUUGAAGGAUGUAAAACUUUGGUUUCUUCUGGAGGUCUUGCAGCUGUUGUGAAAUGCCUUAUAAAUUUGAUUCACAAGCACGGUGGUUGGGUUGACAAUGAUGGAUCCAUUUUCUUGGCUUGUGAUACUAUCUUGAAUGUGCUUCUGAAGAAAGAGCUAGCUGGACUUCUAUGUGGGGAAUCAUCUUUUGUUCACCUUUUGGAAGCAAUUGCAAAUUCAACUGGGGAUGCCCACGAGCCAUCUGUUAUAAUGAUGGCUGCCAGCAUAUGUGCCUUAGUAUUUGAUUACACGUCAGAGAAUGCUCUUCUAAGCAAUCCGAAUUUUGCUGAUAAAUCUCUCGAUAAGUUAUGCCGACUCUUUUCAAGAAUCUUCGCUUUGUCCCAACAGGUACGUUCUUCAGUUUAUGUGGAUUGCAGCAGAGCAUGAACGAUGAUGAAGUGGCACAGAUGGAUCUUUACGAGAUUAUCGCGGCAGGAUAUUCUCGAUGGGGAGAUAGGUUCCCGCGUGUUCAAAAGGCAAUCGGGAUUGCACCAUUGUGAUUAUCGAUGUAAUCAGGAAAAGAUGGAUAUCACCAUCCCCUCCUUUCUGCACGCCAUUAAUUGGAGUAAGUGUAGUCUGCACCACAAGUGAAGUUUAAUUUUAUGGUGUUGAUAAUGUAGACAAAUUUUAAAUAUUAUUAAAAAGGGAGAAAUUUAAGACUUAGAUGUGUUCUAAAAAGAAGUUAGAGAAUCAGGAUAAAGGUAGGGAGAAA